UUAGGAAUCUUCCGCAAUGGGCGAAAGCCUGACGCAGCGACGCCGCGUGUGGGAUGAAGGUCUUCGGAUUGUAAACCACUGUCGGGAGGGACGAAGCUCUGACGGUACCUCCAAAGGAAGCACCGGCUAACUCUGUGCCAGCAGCCGCGGUAAUACAGAGGGUGCGAGCGUUGUCCGGAAUCACUGGGCGUAAAGGGCGCGUAGGCGGCCUGGUAAGUAGGGGGUGAAAUCUCAUGGCUCAACUGUGAGGCUGCCUUCUAGACUGCUGGGCUUGAGCACGGUAGAGGCUGGUGGAAUUCCCGGUGUAGCGGUGGAAUGCGUAGAGAUCGGGAGGAACAUCGGUGGCGAAGGCGGCCAGCUGGACCGGUUCUGACGCUGAGGCUCGAAAGCGUGGGGAGCAAACAGGAUUAGAUACCCGAGUAGUCCCUGAGCGGGCUGGCAAGGCGCAU
rnacentral:rRNA from 1 species